rnacentral:rRNA from 1 species
GACGAACGCUGGCGGCGUGCCUAAUACAUGCAAGUCGAGCGGACAGAAGGGAGCUUGCUCCCGGAAGUCAGCGGCGGACGGGUGAGUAACACGUGGGCAACCUGCCUGUAAGACUGGGAUAACUUCGGGAAACCGGAGCUAAUACCGGAUAGGUUCUUCCUCCGCAUGGGGGAAGAUGGAAAGACGGUUUCGGCUGUCACUUACAGAUGGGCCCGCGGCGCAUUAGCUAGUUGGUGGGGUAAUGGCCCACCAAGGCGACGAUGCGUAGCCGACCUGAGAGGGUGAUCGGCCACACUGGGACUGAGACACGGCCCAGACUCCUACGGGAGGAAGCAGUAGGGAAUCUUCCGCAAUGGACGAAAGUCUGACGGAGCAACGCCGCGCGAGCGAAGAAGGCCUUCGGGUCGUAAAGCUCUGUUGUUAGGGAAGAACAAGUGCCAGAGUAACUGCUGGCACCUUGACGGUACCUGACCAGAAAGCCACGGCUAACUACGUGCCAGCCGCCGCAGUAA